rnacentral:lncRNA from 1 species
GGGAGAACUAGGUGGGUGGCUGUAGGGGAGAAAACCAACUUCAAUCGAACACGAUGUUCCUGUUUUUGUAUGCCAGCAAAAUGCAAUUAAAGUCUGAAAGCACCAAAGCUAGAUCCAAACACACAAUGAGAUAUUAAAAACCCACCUUCGCGCAAGGGGCUAACUGUGUGCUUGUGUGUGCUCCGAGAACGGAGAGAUGAAGACGAAAGCAAGAGGGAGAGGGAAACGCGACAAUGCCUGGACGAUUGGACGACUGUCUGUGUGCGAAGUGGUCUGCGAGAAUGGAGUGAGGAAGAGGAAAGCAGUGUGUUGUGCGAGGAUGGAGUGUUAUGUGAAAAUGGAGAGAGCAAGGGGAAAAUGAGAGGGAAGUUAAUAAUGAGAUGCGAGAGAGGAAAUGAGAUGCGAGAGAGAAGAUAUAUGUGUGCAUGCACUGCUACAAAAGGAAUUUUUGACCACUUUAGUUUUUUAAAAUAUUCAAACUAUUUUAUUUACUUAGUAAGUUAGACAUUUUGGAAAAAUUUAGAAGUGUAGGACGAAGGAAUUGGAGGUGAAGGGCGAAACACCCAAAAAAUUAUCAUCUAUUGUUUGUUUGAUUUUUUGUUACAUAACCAUAACCAUAUCAGUGACAAUUAGAGAAAGUAAAGUAAAAGCACGAUAAUGAAAAUUGAAGACAACAAAGAAGAAUGGAAGACGCAAACAAAACUAGUGUGAAGCUGUCGAAGUUAGGAUAAAAGGAUAACAUAAUCAGUGUUAAGCUAUCUUUCCACCUUCAUAUCACGAAUAAGGGAGAUCAAAGAGCGAAAAUUGUCACAAAUCUGUCUUCACAAGUUCACGAACACUCAAAUUCUUCACUUUUGUUUGAUUAACUAUAUUACAUUAAGGGAUAUAAACUCACAUCAUUAUUAGUGUACGUAGCCUUUACCAAUUAGCAAAAAGGAAGAAUCAGAAGAUUAAACCGAAAGAAAACUCGCAAAGUAACUUGUUAUUUUUAAAGGGAAAUGAUACUUUGACAUCCAGAAUUUGAUAAAUUUUUUACGCCACCAUGUGUCAAAUUUUGGGUGGUCCACGUGUUUAAUAAAAAAAACGGUUGAAUGACGUGGAUUAAGAAUUAGGAGGGAGCCUGAAGAGUGCGUUCCAUUUUGAGAUUUGAAAAUAGCAUUGAGAUUUUGGUUUCGAAAACCCUAGAGAGAGAAGCACCCACGCCAUCGAGAACCGCUCGACGGAGUUUCCACUGUCAGUUGCAAAAAGUGCAUUGUUCAACAGUUACCGGAGGGCAUUCUGCCGCUGUGCCGCCAAUUGGAACGUGCUCAGCCCUCGAAAAAUUAGUCCCGUGAAGUAAUCCCUUUCGCUCGCAUGUCUUCCCAC